rnacentral:lncRNA from 1 species
ACAAUGGCUGUGAUUGAUGGUGGUACUUUGUUUACAACGUAGAUGAUUUUAUCAUUAAUAUUAAUAAUUACAUUUGUUUAAUGGGUUCGCUGAGAAGUAGCCGUUUUCUGGAAAUAAUUGGGGACAGAGUAAUUAGAAUAAAUAAAUAAAUAAAAUAAUUAAAAAGAACCGUUACAAAUGGAAAACAACUAACUAACACGUUCCCAUUUGUGAGCCAAAUGAGGCUGUGUCUUCU